AAUACAUGUUAAAGAAACUAAUUAACUAAAAAAUAUGAUAUAACAUUUAAUAACCAUUUGAUUUUAUAAAACUUUAAACACGGCUCUCAUUUAUUUUUGCAAAUUUUAACAUCCUUAACUUUUAUAAAUAUCAAACCAAGAGAUUAACUGUCGACUACUUUGUUUGGGAGCAUUUAAGUCAAAAAUUCAAGAGAUUUAUUCGGAAUCUAUAAAUUCCAAAGCUUCUAUCCAAAAUAGCUUACAUUGCUUGUUCGAUUUCCCUCCAAGUACAUACUUAUAUUCCCUGUAUUAUUGCCAUCCACUUCUUCAGUAUGGCUCGUAAAUUCUGGAAAAAUAUUUCUACCAAGCCGCAGCAUCUGUGGCUUUUCGGUUUUUCGCUUUUGACUUUGACUUCAGCAGUUGGGCUCUCCAUUAUCGUGCCGAUCAUCAGCGCUUUGUGUGUGCAUUUGUCGGGGGUUAUGCAGUUAUGUACAAGUCUAUAUAAUCGUGCCCCACUUGAGUGGUGCUGCAUAAGCCCGACCCCACUCCACCUCCAUUCCCGCGAGAAACCCGCACUCCGCGGACGACAACUCAUUCGGCGUCAGGCAAUUCGCCAGCAACGUUAAGUAAAUUGAUUCUUUAAUUGUCGAGAAUUGGUUACCAGUUGGUUUAACUCGCUUUUGCUCAUGCAUGCCGUACACCCCCGUCCACAAAGCCCCCAUCUUGUGCAGUAAAUGUGGCUAUGGAUGUGGCUAUGGAUGUGGCUAUGGAAGUGGAUGUGGAUAUCGAUGUGAAUGCAAGCAAAGGCGCAGAGUCGUGAAUCGAGAAUGAAAACGAGAAUCGGGCAUUGAGCAUUGAGCAUCGAGCAUCGAGAAUGAAUACAUGAAUACCAGGCCAUGGCGAACAGACAGCAUCGGGUGAGUCAGCGGAUCCAAAAUAAAUAGCCCCGGGCCUCCGUUGAGCAGGAAUUUCUGCACAGACAAGGGCAGGGCCCUCACACCGGGCCACAGCCACGACCACUCCCACUUUCCCAGCCCCCACGACUCCCUCGCAUUUCGAGCAAAACAAAAUCUUUUUUUAUGCUUCGCGCUUCUCGACGCAUUCGCGGUCAUUUGAUGCCUUUUUUUUAUGUUUUUCCCCGCCCGGGCAUUUCAAUUCGCACCAAGCAGGCUACACAAAAUGCCAUGAAAUUCAAUCCACAAAGCGACGAAAAAAAAGUAAAAGAACUCAGAGUUCUGCACAAGAAAUAACUUUACCCGAGUUUAGGAACCUGCUCGAAUUCUUUAGCAAAAUGUAUUUUGAAAAUACGCUGAGUAGGCACAUUUCUAAGGCAAUUAUUACAAAUUCAGAAAACAUGACACUUUCCAGGAGUUGUUUACAUUUUUUGUUGAUUUCAACGAUCAUCGGUUCGACUUGUUGUUAACCCAUGUCAAGCCCCGUCGGACAACUAUGGAAUAUUAAGUAAAUAUGGUAAAUAUGGACUGAGCAAACAUAAAUUCCUGGCGAAACAUGUCAGCAGAUCAGUCGGCGAUCGCCGGAGAGGAAAUGGCUUUGGCUUGGCGCAUACCUACCUAUGAACAUACGAUUUCGCAAUCCAAUCAAUCUGAUCAUAAUCGCAUUGUCUAUGGAUUGGGGGAAAUCGCUCCUACCUAGAAUUGCGGUGAGUCGAGGGGCUAAUUAAUACAGGACCCCGGAUCCGAAUACGAAUACGAAUCCGAAUCCGAAUCCGAUACCGAUCCUCAACCUAACCCUCCUGCUGCUUGGGCCAUCCUAUUGAUCAUCGGAUUGUUUUUGCUCAUUUCCUGGGCCCCGGACAAUGGCUAAAGUCUGGAAUAAUUAACAGCCGUAACCGAUUCGGAAUCACAAAUGGCAAACAGCAAAUGGCAAAUGGCAAUAGCAAAUAGCACCGCUCCCCUCUUCAGACACUUCCUACCGAUCCAGUGAAUGAGCGGGGAAAACUCGAUUGCAUUCAGGCGGCCGCCAUUCAUCGAUCGUGAUAAAUAACUGAAUUAAUGUGACUGCCUCUGGACAAUAAAUUAUUAAGCUUACUGUUCAACUCACUGUAAAAUGUGCUAAAAUUACGCAAGUAAUAAAAACAUUAGCGCUUCACUAUCUAUAAAGAAAAUCAUUUGAAUAAUGCGAAACUCUCGCACAUUUGCAAAAUGUCAGCAGAUGAAAGAUCAGCGAUGAAUCAUUGCGAUAAGUCUGAAUGGUUUAAUGGGAAUCCUCUUUUUUUAUAUCUUACUGAUGAACGAAAAAAACAAGACAUUUAAAAAAAAAAUGAUUGCAAUAAAACUUAUUGACUUGUCAAGAAAUCUUUUGCUAAAUUGUACAAU